rfam:TPA: Bos taurus chromosome 4, whole genome shotgun sequence.
UCCCUGGUGGUCCAGUGGUUAGGACUCACUGCUUUCACUGCUGUAAGCCCAGGUUCAGUCCCUGGUCAGGGAA